rnacentral:rRNA from 1 species
CAGCAGCCGCGGGAAUACGAAGGGGGCUAGCGUUGCUCGGAAUGACUGGGCGUAAAGGGCGCGUAGGCGGAUUGUUUAGUUAGGCGUGAAAUUCCUGGGCUUAACCUGGGGACUGCGCUUAAUACAGGCAGUCUAGAGUGAGGAAGAGGGUUGUGGAAUUCCCAGUGUAGAGGUGAAAUUCGUAGAUAUUGGGAAGAACACCGGUGGCGAAGGUGGCGACCUGGUCCUUGACUGACGCUGAGGCGCGAAAGCGUGGGGAGCAAACAGGAUUAGAUACCCCGGUAGUCCCUGUCUCUUAUAC